rnacentral:rRNA from 1 species
AGCAGCCGCCACGGUAAUACGAAGGGGGCUAGCGUUGUUCGGAUUUACUGGGCGUAAAGGGCGCGUAGGCGGACUGAUAAGUCAGGGGUGAAAUCCCAGAGCUCAACUCUGGAACUGCCUUUGAUACUGGGUAUCUUGAGUAUGGAAGAGGUGAGUGGAAUUCCGAGUGUAGAGGUGAAAUUCGUAGAUAUUCGGAGGAACACCAGUGGCGAAGGCGGCUCACUGGUCCAUUACUGACGCUGAGGUGCGAAAGCGUGGGGAGCAAACAGGAUUAGAUACCCCGGUAGUCCCUGUCUCUUAUAC